rfam:Triticum aestivum genome assembly, contig: Triticum_aestivum_CS42_TGACv1_scaffold_291184_4AL
AACCUAUUCCCUCCGUUCGGAAUUACUUGCCAUAAAAAUGGAUAAAAAUGAAUGUAUGUACAACUGAAAUAAAUUUAGAUACAUUCAUUUCUUGGACGAGUAAGUCUGAACGGAGGGAAUACUUC